CUCAGCUCCGCGCCGCCCGCCGACGGCGAGCCGGGCGCCGAGGGCGAGCCCACCAGCUGCCCGCCCCGCGAGCAGCCGUACGAGGCCGGCGGCAAGAAGGGCGCGGCGGCGGCGGCGGCGGCGGAGCCGGGCGGGCCCUGCAGCUGUGCAUCUCUUUCGAGGAGGGUGGCACUGGAAGAUGCUGAUUUGAAGUCUGACUGGACAACAGGCAUCUAAAACAAGCAGUCUGAGGGGAAAUCACAGCUGGAAAGGACAUUUAAAGGACAAGAAGCAGGAGGGAGAGGAGCAGUCAGUGGUAUUGCCUUAUCGCUCGAAAUUGCUAUUUUUGCUGGCGUGAUUUGCUGUAUUUGGGCAAAGGCAGAGCCAUCUAGAGGAACAGUCCAGCUACGGCGAGGCGGGGAAGGCAGUUUCCCUCAGAGGCAUGGUAUGCUGCCUUCGAGUUUUCUUUAGUUGAUUUCUCCUCUUCCAACAAAGGAAAAGGAGAGCUCCGGGAAACAUCUGCCUUUCAGAAACGCACCAAGAAGCUGGCAAGUGAGGUGCCAAAACGCAAAACUGAAAUCAGUUUCAAGAGGAAGAGAACUGCAGCAUCUGGAUGGGACAGUUCAGCUGUACUCAGCCGACCUCCAAGACCAAGUGGAGAUCCCUGCCUGCCUUACUUCUGCAGUGUCUCCCACCCUUCCAUGCAAUGAGGUUCCUGGUUCACUAUGGUGGAUACAAUGAGGAAAACAGUGCACUUGAAGCCACCUGUGUCACUGGGCACGUACGGGAGUUUGUAGAAGAGAGAAUACCAGUGGUGCAAGGAGUACAAGCCAUUCAAUGAGGAGAAUGUGCAGGUACCAUGGGCUUUUCCUUGCUUGGCUCUUUAGCCCAUGGUGCCAGCCUCCCUCUCGGGGCUACAGGACAGCCAGGGACCAGGUCGGUGCCAGGGGGGCAGCCGGCACCGGUGCUGUUUCCACCGCCAGGGUCUGCUCUGGUCCCCACCGCCAUGACCCACCAGCAGUCAGGGCACUAAUGACUGCUUGCUGAACCGGUGCCUAAGCCUUGGACUCCUGUUGCUUCCCGUGGGGCUGAUGGAGUGCAUCAGGAUUAGACCCAUCCCAGUACUGCCUUGAGGAGGGGGAUUGCAUUUGGGAUGGAGAUGGCACCUUGCCCUGACACGGGCCUGAGAAGAUUUCUGCCGAGAAGCUGAGGUUGGUUUUUUUCUAAUCUCCUUGCAGUGUGAGUGACCCCCUGAGCUAUUUAAUCUGAUUUGCCUCGCUCCGCCUCCCCUGGCUUAAUUGCUUGUGGCAGCCCAGUGGGGACAGCUGCAGUUUGCACUGGGCCACUGCAGAGAAGUGGCGGGGGGCAUGUUCAGUUGCUAAAGUGCUUUGGGCUCAUACAUUCACGAGAGCGGGGGAAAAAAAUGUUCAGGCUGGGGAGGAAAACAGGGGGGACAACAACAGAGAAAUCAUUGUGUGAAGGUGCCCACUGGGGCAGAGGGGCUGUCUGUGGCCACCGUUGCCAUGCUUGCCUGGGCAGCAGCUUGAGGAGCCCUCUCCUCUCCCCUCCUCCUGCCCCAGGGAGCGCCCCUGCUGCCAGGAGCCUUCAUUAACAGUCCUGCUUGGGGCUCCCACUGUUCUCCAGGGCUGGCAAGUGCUUCCUGGGCAGCCCCAGCCUCAGGUAGCUGCUCCACUUCCAGGAGCUGAGAUCCUAACUGGGAGGGCAGGGUUUAAUCCCUGUGCAUCUCAGUUUCUUUUUCUUUUCUGUGUUUCCAUUUCUGUAUUUAUUUAUUUGUAAUUUUAUUUUCUUUUAUUUUUGGAAGUCUGCACACUUCCUGUGGAGGUCCUGAUGUAAUUUGGGAGAUAAGAAGGGAGGGAGCACCUAAGGUAUGGCUGCUUUCCUUGAGUUGCUGUCCCACUGGGUAGCAUGAUGAUGAGGUACCCAGGAGGCACAGGUUUCCCUCUUAGCCCUGCUAGGAUAUGGGAUUUUUUAAGAGGAUAAAACUGCUGUAAUGUUCUUAUCUGUGGAGUUUUGGAUGGUAGGCUACUUCCAAGGGGAAGGUGGGGAGCUCCUUGGGUUAAGGCAGAAAGCACUGGCUGGUGAGCCAUCCCCACCAUGGGCUCCUGGAGGCUCCUGUCCCUCUGGAGAUGCCUCAUGAGGAGCUCUGGCCAUCCUUGGUGGGGAAAGUCCCCAGAUACAGGUAGUUCCUGUAGCUCUGCAACCUCCACCUGCCUUCCUGUCAGCAUGGUGAAGCAGAAGCCACCCUGGGGAAAGCCCUGAGGACCUUGGAGGUUGAGGGACAAACAGAAACCCGUGUUGAUUCAAAACAACAAUGAAAAAACUCUGUGAGGAUGGUUCUUGCUGGCCCCAGCAGCCUGGCAGUGCUCACAACAGAAGAGUCUCUUUCAGAGUCCCUAGAAAGGAGCAACUGGCUUGUGACAAGAGCUGUAGUGUGCAUCUGAAGGGGCUGGAGCCAGCAGACACCCCCCAGACCAGCCAUGCCAACAGCCCCAUUAGCCUUUCCCCAACAUGAACCCUGGAUCCAUUCUCUCUUCCACCGUCAAACUGCUGCUUGUGCCGGGGCUCCCUCCCUCCCUCCUACUGUCCACGUGGGGCACAGCAGAGUCCCAAGCCAGAAGAUGGGCAGAAAGAGGAAGCCCUGAUGGUCUGUGUGUCUUUAAUGACAGGUAUGGAGCUGCUUUGUGGCCGUUGUACCCCCAGGGGUGCUGACCCCACCAACACCCAGGCUUUGCCGUGGGCAGGUAGCUUGAUGAUGCUUUGGCAACUGUCCUUCCCACUCCCAGCCCCUCCAUUCGAUGAGACUUCUUUCUGCAGAAGCUGCAGGUUGCAGACUCCCAGCUAAAAGCCGAGGAAUUUGCUGUACCCCGGGAGGAGCAGGCGAUGACCUACAGCGACAGCAUUGUCAGGGAGAGGAGGGAAGUCAUCCCAGCGUGGAGCAUCAAAGCCAGCAGUUGUGCUGAUGAUGCAGAAGGGAGGAAGCCAGAAGGCAGCACCCCUCGCCCCAAAGCCUUGCAGCAGAGAACACACUUCGCUCCUUCCUCUUGCAGAAAGCUACCUACCAAACUACUACCCUGCCACCAAACUGGCAGCAACCCAGGCAGAGAAAUUGGAGGGGCUGCAGGCUCUUGCUGAGCUGGAGAAGGGGCUGUCUUAUCACCAGCGUCUUCCAGCUGCUGCUCAGACUGCUGCAACAG